AUACAGAGAUGGAGUCACUACCCAAGUAAUUCUCUAGGAUACUUUUACUAAUUAAAUGGCAUGCUAGAUUCUAUAAGAAAGCUUCGCCACAUCCAAAAAUGGAUCCAAAAGUCAACUUCCUUAUUUGUGUAUUUUAGUCUUUAAUUUUAUUAUUUAAUAGGUUAUUCCCUAUAAAUGCAAUAUUUUAUAGUUUACAAGCAUCUAUUGUGAUACCUGUAAAUUCUAAAUUUUAAUGUCAGUAAUUCUCGGAGGCAAAUUAGUAAAUUAAAUAUUUCUAUGAAUAAAUGAAUGCCAUCUAAUUUAACAUUUCUAAAUAAUUAUAUAUAUAUAUAUAUAUAUAAGCGCAAGUAUUUAAAUUUAAGGGUGAUUUAGUAGCAUAAAUUAAAGGAACGGACUGAAAAAAAAAUUAUAAAAAAAAUAAUAAAAAAAAAGAAAAUAAAUAAAAAAUUAGUAGGGUAAUGUAUAGCCCCCUCCCCUUUCUCUUUUUCUCUUUUUCCCUUCUCUUUCCUCUUCUUUCUCGACGCACACAAUCUUCCCCCUCCCCUACACCUCCCAUUAUCUGCCAUUGUAGUCACCAACCUCCACCAUUUCUCUCACCCUUUCCGCCUACGCCACCACUAAUUCCACCUCUCACCAAAAAACACCUAAGAAGGAUGUAAAAGAGCCGCAACUCACUGCCACCUUUGAGAGGACGUCUCGCCGGCCUCAUUUUGCAAUUUCAACUUCAAAAAACGGACUGUCCACCACUGGAAAACUUAGGACAACCCUUUUUUCCUCCAUUUCCGUCGCCGGAAAGAGUGUUCAAAAUCCAGUGGAGCCGAAACUUUCUGGCCUAUAUCCGGUGCCUUCUUGUGAAAUUUUAGCAAAAACAAUUGUAUAUUCAGACUCCACACGACUCAAGCUUUGCGUAGAUACCCAUCGAUUCAGCCCGCUCCACCCGAGGUGUAGGAGCAGAGUAAUGGAGUCGUCAGAACAGUGUUAGCUAGUUCUCCUGCAGUUCAUCCUCCUUGAGCAGCUCGAUUCUCUUCUUCCUCGACGUAAUUGUUUUGUUUCCUAUAAUCAUAACUAUUUAAAUAUCUAGACAUUCCAUAAUAUUUGAUAUCAAACUUAACAUUAUAUUCGCCUUAAUGAUCAACUGAUAAUGUAUUAAAUUUAUUAUUGUUGAUGAAUCAGUAGGAAUUUUAUUGUAUCUGUAGAGGAGUUCUAUGUGACAUCGUGUUGGUA